ensembl:snoRNA
CUCAAGACUAGAGUUACAUCCUGAUACAGCUCUCAUCCUGGUGUGCUAGAGUCCUUGGAGAGAAUCUGCUCAUCUUGAUUCACUGGCAGGCCCCCAGCAGUACCCAGAUCAGAAACAGGC